GACGAACGCUGGCGGCGUGCUUAACACAUGCAAGUCGAACGGAAAGGCCCUGCUUUUGUGGGGUGCUCGAGCGGCGAACGGGUGAGUAACACGUGAGUAACCUGCCCUUGACUUUGGGAUAACUUCAGGAAACUGGGGCUAAUACCGGAUAGGAGCUCCUGCUGCAUGGUGGGGGUUGGAAAGUUUCGGCGGUUGGGGAUGGGCUCGCGGCUUAUCAGCUUGUUGGUGGGGUAGUGGCUUACCAAGGCUUUGACGGGUAGCCGGCCUGAGAGGGUGACCGGCCACAUUGGGACUGAGAUACGGCCCAGACUCCUACGGGAGGCAGCAGUGGGGAAUAUUGCACAAUGGGCGGAAGCCUGAUGCAGCAACGCCGCGUGCGGGAUGACGGCCUUCGGGUUGUAAACCGCUUUCGCCUGUGACGAAGCGUGAGUGACGGUAAUGGGUAAAGAAGCACCGGCUAACUACGUG
rnacentral:rRNA from 1 species